rnacentral:lncRNA from 1 species
CGUGGUCGCCUCCAAAAUUAGGUUUUUUCUCUGUUUUUGAAUCUUUUCACUUCCGCCUCCUUUUUUUUUCUUCCCCUCUGAUUCGCUCCCUUCUCCUUUUAUAUUCACAGCUUUAGGGUUUAGGGUUGUUGUAUGGAAUUCCAAAGAAUAUCUUCUGCAAACUACUUUUGAUGCGCUCAGUUGGGAUUGGCCUUUUUGAUGCUUGAUUCGGAACGGGUACUCAGAGCUCAAACUUUCUCUUUGAAUUUU